rnacentral:rRNA from 1 species
AACUUUUUACGGUGGAUCUCUUGGCUCGUGCAUCGAUGAAGAACACAGCCAGCUGCGUUACGUAGUGUGAAUUGCAGAAUUCAGUGAAUCAUCGAAUCUUUGAACGCAAAUGGCUCUCUUGGUUAUACCGGGAGCAUGUCUGUCUGAGUGUUG